GGAGGUAUAGUUUAGUGGCAGAGCGUGUGCUUAGCAUGCACGAGAUCCUGGGUCCAAUCCCCAGUAUCUCUG
rnacentral:tRNA from 1 species